rnacentral:rRNA from 1 species
CACGUAGGGCGCAAGCGUUGUCCGGAAUUAUUGGGCGUAAAGAGCUCGUAGGCGGUGUGUCACGUCGUUCGUGAAAACCUGCAGCUUAACUGUGGGCGUGCGGUCGAUACGGGCAUCACUGGAGUUCGGCAGGGGAGACUGGAAUUCCUGGUGUAGCGGUGAAAUGCGCAGAUAUCAGGAGGAACACCGGUGGCGAAGGCGGGGUCUCUGGGCCCGAUACUGACGCUGGAGGAGCGAAAGCGUGGGGAGCAAACAGG